CAUAAACACAAAGAAUGUUAACUUGCAUGGCGGGAGAAAUUAAUCUUGUGAUGUGGCAUGACAAAAACAGAAGUCUCUGAUGAUUACCAUAAGAGCAUCGCUUCUAAACACAACGAGUCAUUUAGCUGCAUCAGCCUCUGGAGGGAACAUACCCAGUUCUAAGUUCGCUGUGUGGUUUGCAAUUUUUGGAAUACACCGGAGGAACAAAUCCUUUCAUAGCCGAGGCAGCUUCGCUCAAAAUGAUACGCAGUCAGCACGUUUUGAUUUUAAUGCUGAGCCUGGUUUCUGCUUCACGACUUCUUGGCAAACAUCUUA